GACUAUGUAUUUGAGUUAAAAAUGUCUUAAUGCUGGAUGUGUUUCAGUUUUUGUCUUCUCCAGAUGUUAACUGAUGGACUGGAGUGCUGUGGGUUAUUGAGAUUGUUGAAGCUUGAUAAUGAAAUGAUCCACAGGAUUCGAGUCUCCCAUCCUGCACGGCCUGUGUUCCUUUGGCUUCGCUGCUCGUCACGUUCUGAAGCAGUUCACAGGAAAUAACGUGUCUCAAGUCCACACGAUCUGCCUUUAAUGACUAGAGCUGACAGGGAUAAAUCACGCUCUCAUGUUUAUAUCAUAUGAUAUAGUUUAGCAAUAUCACACCAGCAAGAGAGCUGUUUCUCCCCAACAUCUGCUCCACUGCAAAUGUUCAGUAAACAAGAAGUUCAUAUUGUGUUACAUUUUAGAUUUGGUCAGUAUUGCCUGUUUUUGCUCAGUUUCACAAACUAAAAUCGUUCCAAUUAAAACCACAGCAGAACAAUGCACAGCACGGAUUUGUUACUGAAUGAAUCUGUGGUUUUGAAUGAAUCAAGUGAGUCAGUUAUUCAGUGACUCAUUCAUAAAGACAGUCACUUGCUUCGUUUCUGAUUGAAUCAGCUGUUUGAACGAAUCGAAUGAGUCGAUGAUUCAUUUAUAAAUAGUUCAUCUGCUUCAUCUGUGAAUGAACCUGCGGUUAUUAACGAAUCGGUUGAAUGAAUGAUUCAAUGACUCAUUUGUUUAGACAGUGAAGUGCCUCUUUUAGUUUCAUGUUUUGAGUAUCAUUUCAUUUUUUUUUUAAAUAAUUCAGGAUUAAUUAAAAACCAUACCACUUUAUUGUCACACAAUAAGACAAUAAUGACUUUAAAUGAACUCACGUGUGCACACAUGAUGGUGUGUGAAACAGAAGUGUGAUUAAUUCACUUCGUUCAUCUGCACGUGAUGUAAUUAAUCAGAUUACAGUGUGAUUAAUGACCCUGAUCUGUGUUUCCGGUGUGUUUCGUGUUCCCAGGACAGUCUCUGCAGACGGAGACGUGGAAGGAAGCGAACGGGAGUCACCUCCAGUGUAAGGCGUUUUUCUCCAGCAAGCUGAAAGUCAAAGUCAUGUUGAGCCAGAAGCUGGAGGCCGUGCUGAAGAACUACGCCGAGCUCUGAAGAUCCGAGUCGAGUCUGUCUGCAUCAAUCAUUAAUACUGCUGAUCAUUAAUAAAAACCCAGCACAGAAAUGAA